rnacentral:tmRNA from 1 species
GGGGUUGUUACGGAUUCGACAGGCAUGCUUGAGCAUGAACUGCAGCCCGAAGGACGUUUCGUUAAAAGUCACAGUUAAAUAUAACUGCUAAAACAAACAAUUCUUACGCAGUAGCUGCCUAAACACCAGCACUCGCAGUCUUUAAUCGUGUUACUUUCGCGCCUUUAAAGACUUCAUUUUAGAAAGUUACGUCUGAGUAUUGCUUGGCUGCUUAGAAAGAGAUUUUCAAGCUCGCUUAUCUUGCUGGGGUUAUAUGACGGCUCUUUAGGUUAAACUAAAAACAUAU